UAAUAAUAAUUUAUUUGAUUUAAAGUGCUAAAAUAAUGGUGCAUACAUUUUCUAAGCACUGUACAUAAUAUUAAAUGAGUACAUUAAAAGUGGUGAUUUCAUGAGGAUAAAAAACAGUUUAAAAACAUCCGGAAAAUAUGAAUAUUUAAAACAUGUAUGGCCUACUCUGAAUAUGUUAGGAUAAAAAGAUGAGUUUUGAGUUUACUCUUAAAAGUGUUUAGCACAGUGACAUCACGUAACCAGCUUGGAAGGGCGUUCCACAGCCCCGCGGCCCGGACACACAGAGAUCGAUCCCCGAAGACCCCAUUUGAACGUGGGAUGGCAAGACUUAUGGAAAUCCAGCAUUGACAUCCCCGUGACACCAUUAUAUACCAGGACAAGUUUAGGCUAUGUCACAGAAAGCAGGGAGUCCGCUGUAAACAAAGGAGUAUGCUGAGUUACAGAGAAAACUAUAUCAUCAAAGAGGGAUUCCAUACUGGUGAUGCAUACUCCAGCCCGGAUCUCACCAUCGCGGCAAAGCAUAUCUUAGCAGCAUCACUUAAAAAAGCCGAAAACGCCGCAGAUAUCGACAUGAUCGACGAACUUGUUGAAAGUGAUGAAGAGGAACCUUAUUGCCUUUGUGGUGAACCGAAUGAUGAUGCAAUGAUAUUGUGUGAUGUUCCUAAACAUGCUAAAUGUGAGAUUGAGUGGCACCAUUAUACCUGUGUUGGGCCAAGUCCAGAUUCACUGCCUGAUGGAGAUUGGAUUUGUGAUCAGUGCAUUUUGUCAUCAACAAAAUCUAAAGAUGAUGCAUACCUUGUCCGCAAUUGCAACGAAAGAUUCUCGCUGGUAUGGUUUUCAAGGUGAAGGGUUACAUGUAGAUGCCACAAACCUUGACCGCAAUUGCAACCGAAGAUUUUUGGAUGAACCGCAAGACGAUCAGAUGAAGGCUUUCAGUUGUCCAGGCCAGGCCAGGUGACCAAUGACAAUGAUAGAUCGGGUUCGAUUCAAGCUAUACGCUUGGUGUAUUCGGUUAUCGUGUCUGGCGACUGAGUCUAACUCACGUCCAAAGCACGGUGGCUGGGUCCCAGGCAUGCUUGCCACUUUGUUCUGCGGUCCUCAUCUAAGUUUCGACGGUGAUGACAUGGACUUAGGUUCAAAGUACGUGUUCCCCUUGAGUCAUUGUGGUUGAUUGAUGGGGGAAAUUAACGAUUGCGUGUCGCUAGUCAUUCACAAUAUCCCCUGUUGAAGAGUGUUGGCGGGAUAAGUCUUACGACUGUUAACAAUAGUAAGCAAUAGCUGGCCAGCGAUCCCCUACCUGAUCUCGAGGGGGAUGGAAUGACUGGGGUUAGAGGCCUGUUGUUAACCUGCGGAAUUUCGUCGGACGAAAUGUCAGGCGUGUCCGUGUGGGACUUGUGCUAAACCAGUUUAGUACUAAUGACGAAGACCUUGGGUCCUUUGAAUAACAACAGUGUUCUCAACCUCCUUGUGCCUCUCAAAGCUAACGUAUAUACCCGCUGAAAUCGACAAGACGGCAAUGAAGAAGGAGUGCCGGCCUCCAGCUCGUGAGCCGAGAAGACACUGGAUGGACCUGAAGAAUAUGUUGCUGCCAAUGUUGGAGCCAUACAGGGCAGCCCGAGCCAACAUUGUACAAGAGCCACAAGGUCCAGGGCCUCAAGGACAAGGGACACAAGGACAAGGGACACAAGAACAAGGGACACAAAAGACGAUGUUGUAAUCUGCGGGAUUGAGAUGAUGGCUGUCGAAAAGACCCAACCACUCAACCAAGAUCUACAAUUCGUCCUAUGGUAGAUGUGACUCUCAAAAGAUUUUGGAUGACGAAGGAUUCCAAUACAUAUAUGUCGCUCACAGAUACGGGCAGACGACCGAGAGUCGAGUGGAUUCAGUGGAUCGAAUGGUUGUGCAGAGGGAUAGCCAUGUGCAGGAGUGACGAACCACAGCUCAGCAAACGAUGCCUUGACAGAACAAUUCAAGGAGAACUUUCGCUGAGAUCAGAAAGGGAACUUGUUUGCUGUGGGGAUGGAUUGGACACCGAAAUGUCUGUCAUUCUAAUAAACUAUAAUGACAAUCCAACUCCAAAGGGACUCUCUGGAUUUAGGGAAAGCUACGGACAUAGAGCCCUGACAUGAUAUCCUGCAGCCACCAUGAGGACAGCCUAUCUCAUACCUUCGGAAGGGUGCCAUCACACGCAUGGAGAAGCAUGCGACAGGAGGAAGAUGGAUGUUGCUGACCAGCACAUCCCAACGAUGUAUUUUUGUCACCGUAGACCUAUUGUUUUUAUUGAAAUAUCUGAUUGAAAGGUGAUUUUAUUGAUAAAAUUCCUAAAAUUUUCUGAUGGGAGAAGGCAUAUAUUUACCUUCUUAGGGCAAUGACAAUAUGUUGUCAUGGUUUAAAAUAAUGCACGUAUAAAGAAGGAAUAACGUUUUAGAGGAGGGUUCUUUUGUUACCAGGGGCACCAUGAUCCAAGAGAUCAACAAUUUUCUGGCAAAAUCUUUUGAAAGAAAGCGAAAUGUGGAGUGGGCGUUUAUGGAGAGCCAAUAGGGCUUGUCAGUACCCAAACAAAUAAGUCUUAAGCAUAUUGAUUUUUAGCUUAUGAAGGCAGAAGCUAAUAGCCUAGGGCACAUCAGGACCCUACUGCUUGAAAUGGUUUUCUCCUGAAAUAAUCACCAACUUGAUCAGAUAUUUCAUUAUUAUAUCUCCAUCACUUGAGACAUGGGGUUCAUAUGAUUUCUUUCUUGCUUAAACCCCAGGCAAAAAAGGAACAUAUGUGUCUGCGAUGGAACGUAGGCCUUUUUGGCUCACCGUAGGGGAGUCUAUACGAUACCGCAGUGUCCGUCGUCCGUCGUCGUCCGUCGUCGUCGUCGUCGUCGUCGUCGUCGUCGUCGUCGUCGUCGUCGUCGUCCGUCGUAUCCUAGUUCAAAAACAGUGGCACGUUUUUUAACCGCUAGGCCUAUGAACUUAAAACUUUGUACACAUGACCCCCUUGGUCAGAUGACCCGUGACACUAAAUUUCUGUCCGAUCUGAUUCUCUACUUGGCCACCAGGGGGCCAAAUGUGGAUAUCUAAAAAGUGUGAUAUCUCGCUUAUUAGUGACUUGUUUUCGAUAAAACUUUUGUGGUAGGUACUCAUAGCAAGGAUACAUCAUAUAUCUUACGGGUUUUUAAUUUGAUGUACUUUUCAAGGUCGCAGAGGUCAAAUGGCGUGAAUUGGCCGUUUGAGUGUAACUAUGGCACGUUUCUCAACCACCAAAGCUAUGAGCUUGAAACUUGGUACAUAUAACCCCCUAUAUCAGAUAACCUCUGGUGCUGAAUUUCAGCCUGAUCUGAUUCUUGACUUUGCCACCAGGGGGCCAAAACAGAAAAAGUAAGAAGUGCAAUAGCCUGCUUAUUAGCAAAUUGUUUUUGAUGAAAUUUUUAUGGCAGGGACCCCUAGCAAGGUUACCUCAGAUGUUGCACGAUUUUUCGGAUUUGACCUACUUUUUAAGGUCGCAGAGGUCAAAUGGCGUAAAUUUGCCGUUUGAGUGUAACUAUGGCACGUUUCUCAACCGCAACAGUUAUGAACUUGAAACUUUGAACAAAUGACCCCCUAGGUCAGUUGACCUUUUACACUGAAUUUUGGUUCGGUCUGAUUAUUGACUUGGCCACCAGGGGGCCCAAACUCAAAACUCAAAAAGUGUGAUUUCUCGCUUAUUACUGAUUUGUUUUUGAUAAAAGUUUCAUGGUAGGUACUCCCAGCAAGGAUACAUCACAUAUCUUACGGGUUUUUGAUUUGACCCACCUUUCAAGUUCACAGAGGUCAAAGUUGAAAACUUUACCGUUCUUGGUACGUUUUGUCGUUGUUCAAUGUAAAGAGUUUUAAUUUUGUGUAAUGAUGCAUCUAAGAAGCCACUAUUUGUAUGCCAAGUUUCAGCCAGAUCGGAAUUCAAAUAUGGCCGAAAUUGCAUGUUUUGUGGGUUUUUCCUCGUAUUGUGGCAAUCCAAAGGUCGUGAGUUCAAACCCCGGUCAAGGACAGCCAGAAAUAUUUUUAUUUUUCAUCUUUUCCUUUUUUCUUUUCUGAGUUCUAUCUUACAUUUUCUUCAUUUUUUUAUUUAUUUGGUGCCAUAGAUUUAAUUAGGCGGCCAUCUUAGAAAUCGUUUUUUGCCGAUUGCUGUUGUGUAACGAGUGAUGAAAUUGUU